rnacentral:rRNA from 1 species
UACGUAGGGGGCAAGCGUUGUCCGGAUUUAUUGGGCGUAAAGAGCGUGUAGGCGGCCAGGUAGGUCUGCUGUGAAAACUCGAGGCUCAACCUCGAGAUGUCGGCGGAAACCAUCUGGCUAGAGUCCGGUAGGGGAGCGUGGAAUUCCUGGGUGUAGCGGUGAAAUGCGCAGAUAUCAGGAGGAACACCGGUGGCGAAGGCGGGACUCUGGGCCGGAUACUGCGUGAGGAGCGAAAGCGUGGGGAGCAAACAGG